AAAGAAAAGAAGAAAUGUUCCUGAAAGAAAUGAAUACAGAAACAGAUAACCCAUCAGGCAGAGCCAAAAGACUAGGAGGAAACAACUUCAAGGCUGUACUUAGACUUGUACCCCAAAAAUGGAAUACACACACACACACACACACACACACACACACCAGCAAACCAGAGGGGCUUUAGAGCCAAUAAUUUCUGAAUCUAUGAUGUGCAUUUAUAUUUAUAUUUGUUCCUGGAUCCAGUUGUUUCUCAUUCUUUGUGGCUCUAUACUACAGAAUAGUGUGAGAGCUGAAGAGGCAGAGAAAGAUGGACAGACUGAGCAGCGAGAAACUAAGAGAGGCAGAAACUGAGACCCACAGACCGACCUGCAAAAGGCACUGAGAGGCACCUCAAACCUGAUCCUGGAUAGAGCAGACCCAGGGGCCAAGCUUUCAGUUUUCUUUUCCAACUUAGAGACCUGGAAUAUGGCCCUCACUCCUGCCUGUUUCCACCCCAGGCUCAGCCCAGAAAUUGGGGAGUAGAUGUGUAACUUUACCAGGCACAUUCCUCUGCACUAGUAAUAGACUGGGGUCGUGAGGACAAUCAAUGGAUUCUUCCCUGGGCUGCGCCAUAUAGAGAGCUCUCCUGGCAGCCUGACAUUCUGAGGUGGGGAGUCACCAGCACUUCUUUCUUGGUCUUUGCAUUUUUUUUUUUUUUUACUUUUGUAGUGUUACUGUACAGUAAGUAAGUGCCAAGUCUAUGGGGCUCUGUGUGUGCACACAAAUAUGUCUCACCUCAUCUUCUUUCCUAUAGAAUUCAUCUCUGUAGCAAUCCAGUCGGACACCUGUAAAUGCACAUUGCCAGGCUUGAUUGUCAGGACGUCUCUGCGUGUGGAGCAGGUCCACAUGUGCCUGUGUACAGAUUUGUGUUUUUAUCCAGUGUGGGCUGGGUGACUGAUAACUUUCUAGAGACAGGCUCUGUCUUUGGCCAGGCGUAUCUGACUACCACUUUCACAGCUGCUAUGGAAGGUAUCUCUCAGACUUCUAUAGAUGAAGCUCCAACAGCCCUUUGCUCUUUUACCCCCCUAAAACAGCCCAAAUCCCUUCCCUAAGUGGCUUGAUUAUAUAACAUAUAUACAGGGUUCUCCCAUAAACCAACCUCACUGCAGAGCUGCCAUAGCUUCGGUCACCUGUUCCCUGGAAAGGUGACCAGAUCUAGCCACAGAGGCAUGGCUAUCACGCCAGCUUGAUAAUACCUACCUACGAGCUGGAAAGAGAUUUCCUACUUUACAUCUUUCUGAGUGUAUAUUGGUACAUAUAUUUGUACUUACUUUACUUUUAUUCCUAGAAUCAUAUACAUCAUUUUGUUUUCAGAUAAGUAACAGUCUACACAGGCACCUGGCCAAACACUAGCACUGUGCGUGAUACAUGUGGGAUGGAAUCCAUACUGGCACACGAAUGGCUUCCUGCUUGGUGCUGUUGCAACACGGUGCCAUUUCUUGGUACCGUAACUGUUUCUGUCUGCUUCACAUAGGGUUCUCUAGGUCUGAUGCUCAUUUCUGGGGCUCUGGCUCUGGGAUUUUGCUUACAUCCCUGAGCUAAGCAAGCAGCUAGUGUUGGAGCCCCUGCAACCUCAGUCCUCAGAUACAUGGGUAGUGAAUCUGGGUGGGUGUUUAUGGGUGCUAGGCUACUUGCUGUCUUUGCUGCUGAGAAUAGGCAGGGCCCUUUCCCGGCUGCCGCUGCGGGGGUUUUCUCCCAAGAACCACUGCGAUGGUUUGAGUUAGCCAUUGAAAUCUCCCUGGGCCGCUGAGUGUGUGCAAGUAGGUUCAUGUUUUCGGUGCCAAGUCUGCCAGCAGUGUGCCAUCAUGUGUGCACCAGGUUGCUGUAUAUGCACCACGAUCGAUCGUGUGUAUGUCCACAGUCUGUACAUGUAGUUUGGGGCUUCCUGUGUUACCUUUGCUGGUCUCCGGCGUGUUUGUCGGUGUGGGUUGUGUGUACACGCUUGAGUCACCUGUGAGGCUCCCAGUUAACUCAGUGCCCUUGGUGAGCUUGUGGACGAUGACCUGCAGGUCCCUGAGUCCCACUGGGCAUCAGCCUGAGGUUUCUUUGUGCAAAGUGUGGAUCUGGCCCUCUGCCUGCCCCUGAGCCAGGCCGAAGCCACGGUGGAGCACGCCACGCCACGCCAGCACGGCCCCCUGCCCGCGUCCCUGCCCGCGUCCCUGCGGGGUCUCUCGCCGGCGGCAGCGACUGCGACUGCGGCAGGCUCCCGCUUUCAGCAAAGUCCACGCUCCGCCGCGGCGUGGACCCGGCGUGGACCCGCUAGGAGGCCCCGAGGGGACUCGGAGUAGAAAAGCGAGGUGUGGAGGACACUCGCUCACUUGCUCUCUCGCCGCGGUCACCCGCUGCGGACGCUGCCCGCGGGCGGCACCCCACGGCCGAGGGCGCAGGGGAGAGGAACCGAAACGGGGGACGAGCCCGAACCCAGGAGAAGUGAGCAGAAAAGGAGGAAGAGACCCGAUUUCCAAAAGAAAGACAGAAAACCCAAGUCCACUUGAAAAGGCAGAAAACGUUAAAUGAAAAGGGACCCAACAAUAACGCCGAGUGACAGAGGAAAGCAAAUAGAGCCAAGACGCUAAGGGUGUGAACUAGCGGAUGGGAAGGAAGGGCGAGGGGGCGGAGUGGGGAAGAGGGUCCUAGACGGGGCGACUGGGCUUUGGGCAGCUUCGGUCUCGGCGUCGCCGCUGGGUGGCCCAAGCCCGGGUUCCGGGCUUCUUCGCCCGCCGCCCGCUCCCUGGACCCGGCUCCAGCGAAGCGUCCCGCCGCCGACCUGCUGCCCGCACCCGCCUCCAGCAGCGGGAGACCCAGGGCUGGACCCGGAGAGCCACCUCCGCUCCCCCCCCCCCUCCGCCGCCGCGGCCACCCCGGGGAGGUGAAGCCCAGAGGGACGCUCCAAGCCGCCACCUCUCAGGGUCAGUCCUCCCUGGGGUUCGAGUUGUUGGCCGCUGGGCCCGUGUAGACGCGGUGACGGGGCUGGUGGCGCCGAGCGCAGUCUGGGGUCAGCCGGGGCUGGCUGGCGGGGAGCUUGGGGGUGGUGGCGGGCUGCAGAUCGCGUCCCCUCUGCCGGGUCACAGCGCGGGACCCCAGCCCGGCGGGAAGGGACGGCUCCUCUCGGCGCUCCAACUGCGCGCGGCAAGUGGCCGCGGUGGUGCGGGGCCGGGGGCUGAGUCAGGGACAACCGGAGAAGACGGGGCGAGAGAGGAAGCUGGCAGCGGGCAGGAGGGAGAUGUGGGGGUGGGGAUAAGAAAUUGAGGGGGGCUAAGAGAGGAAGAGAGACCCGAGAGGAAAAGCAGAAGGGAAAAGAGAGGGGACCCAGGGCAGUGGACGGCGCAGCGGGUCCCCUCCGGGAGUUGGCCCAGAGGCGCCAACAGCUCCCCUCCCCCGCGCUGCUGCUGGGACCUGCCCGAGUUCCCUUUUCUUCCCAGGCUGCCAAAUGGUGCCCUUAGACGCCACGUCCCCAGUGCCCGGUAGGGUCCAGACAGAAAGAUUUAGCAACGCGCAGACCCCACCGACCCCUAGCUGUUGGCAGGCAAAGGGGACUUGAGGGACUGCGGGGCAGUGAGAAGCUGCUACGUUGUGGGGCACAGAGACCCACCCAGCAAGCCCAGCUCCUCCAGAUUCAGGCACCCACGAGCCGCUUCGGGGAUCCCGUCCAGGAAGACUCUGGCCUGGUCCAGAGCUCACCCAUCAUAAUAAGCCCGGACUGACUUGAGUGUCGGGGAAUCAAAUCAUCGGGAGUCGUUUUUACUCUCAAAAAACCUGAACGGACAUCUCCUGCCCCUCUCCCAUUUGUGGACUGGUGGGUUAAAAGGCUGCUGAGAUAGACUUGGCGGCUCUGACCCCAAACGUCCCCCACCUCUUUUCUUCUUCAUAUAAAGCAGGUCUGAGGCUGGAGUUCCCAAAGUCCUUUCAGUAAAAAAAAAAAAAUAGAACUAGUAACGAAGUGGACUCCACUCAGUCCAAAUGAGAACAACCUGGAUUUGGAGGCCAGUCAACCUCAUCCCAGAACAUUUUGGAGCUCAGCAGUACACAUAUUGAGUACUAGUUGGUGUCUGGGUGUGGGUCAUUGGCUGAGGAGUGGGCAGCUCCUGCCCAGGAGGGUGGGAGAACAAAAAGGGCUUGUUCUUCAUCAGGAGGGCCCCUGCCAGAGAUGGAUAACCCGCCCCCGUGCUCAGGUGGCAGAGGACCACGUAAAGGCCUGACAUCUUGGGGGAGGGUGCAGGUGUGGGAAUGUGCACAAUCAGAGGGCACUGCCAUGUCUUCACUGCCUAUGGGACUCUAAGCCAGUUCCUUAACCUCUCUGUAACUUCUUUAGAACAGGGAUAUGGGAGGGGGGGGAAAGGGAAACUAUCUCCCUGGGUGCUGCUAAGAACUCAGUGAAUUCAUGCACCAGUCCCUGCCUUCAUGGCUCUUCAUAGACGCUCUGGAAACUGUAGCUGUUCUCCCAAUUCAGGAAUGUCUUGUGGAUGUUUGGGUUCUCCUGUUUGGGGUGGGGAGUGCGAAGGGUGGGGUGAAUGACUGUUGCUUGCUGCCUCUGCACUCUUACCUUUUGAGUCAAAUUCCCCUUGGUCCAUUCACCAAUAAUCAGUUCCCCCCCUUUUUUUAUAGUUAAAGUUAGUACAUUCAAAAGUGUUGGAAUUUUUCUUUAUUUCUUUUCUUUUCCUUCCAUGCUGGGAAUGGAAGCCAUGGCUUCCUGCAUGCUAGGCAAGUGCUGUACCACCGAGUUGCACCCCUAGCCCCAAAGCGUUGGAAUUCCUAUUUGAAAUGGAAUAAUUGGUUUGUACUGCCAUUCUGUCUCCCCACACACCACUUUCCUUACGUGUGGAUUUUUAGAGACUUACAGAGAUUCUGUGUAUGGAGCAAUGCACAUUUCAAUGUUUUGGUUUUUAAUACCGCAAGGUGAACCUAUAAAUGUGAUACAAUUCCAAUCCGAUACCUAUUAAGGGGUGGUUGUAAAAAUAAAGUUUGGGAAGUGACUUAAAUGUUAAAAGGAAUGAAGAAAAAUAUUGUGUAAUAAAGGAUUUAUCCAAAUUUACACUUGUAUUUAUCCACAUGAAUAGAUCUCACAGUAUGAUGUUGAAUGAAGUGGUUAAAAACUGAGAUAAAUAACGCUAUCCCAUUGAUUCAGGUUAUAAACAUAUGAAAUAUAUACAACAUUCAUAGUAUGUUUGCAUGUUUUGGGGAAAGACAGGGAGAGUCAAAGCAAGGAAAUCGUGUGUGUGUGUGUGUGUGUGUGUGUGUGUGUGUGUGUACUUACAUAUGACCAGAGGAUGCACAGGCAGAAGAAAAAUAGUAGGUUGGAGAAGAGGAAAAAAAACACUGACUCAGAGUCAAAAAAGGUAAAUUUCAGCCCUAACUCUGUCACUCACCGAACUGGUUGACUUUAGGCAAAUCACCAACCCUCCCUAAACCUGUCUUCUAAUCUUUGGAAUGUUCUCGCCAAAUCCAAAUGAAAGUCUGCCCAUCAGAGUUUCUUUAUGAACCGCAAGAUGCUAUGUAAGACUCCACAUAGCUCCUCCGAGCCAAGCCACAUCAGUGCCUCCCACUGCGGCACACGGGCACUGAGGAGUCCUCCCCUUGCCCCAGCCCAGUGGCCAGCGUCCUCUCCUUAGAGAGGAUCCUGGGCCUGGAGGCUCUUGGGCUCCUGAGGAUGAGAUUCAUUCCAUCUUUCAGCAAAUAUAUAUUGAGCCCUCCCUCUGGUCAGCCGCGGUUUCUCGUGGCUGCGUGGCUCCACUUGGUUCUAGGAGUCCCUGCGGUUGUGCUGUUCUGGACAGUUACCUGGCUGAGGUCCUUUCUCUGUGAGACGAGCCCUCGGCUGGUCUCCUCUCAAUGUUGCAGGCAGCGCCCGGUCCGGAUGCAUUGAUGACGGAGACGAAGGAUCUGGGAAAACUGAACCCAAGAUCCUGGGUUCUAACUACCCCCCGAUGUGAGCAAAGAGUUGGAGGCACUUGGAGCA